AGAGUUUGAUCCUGGCUCAGAUUGAACGCUGGCGGCAUGCCUUACACAUGCAAGUCGAACGGCAGCACGGGCUUCGGUCUGGUGGCGAGUGGCGAACGGGUGAGUAAUGUAUCGGAACGUACCUUUCAGUGGGGGAUAACGUAGCGAAAGUUACGCUAAUACCGCAUAUUCUGUGAGCAGGAAAGCAGGGGAUCGCAAGACCUUGCGCUGAUUGAGCGGCCGAUAUCAGAUUAGCUAGUUGGUGGGGUAAAGGCCUACCAAGGCUACGAUCUGUAGCGGGUCUGAGAGGAUGAUCCGCCACACUGGAACUGAGACACGGUCCAGACUCCUACGGGAGGCAGCAGUGGGGAAUUUUGGACAAUGGGGGCAACCCUGAUCCAGCCAUGCCGCGUGAGUGAAGAAGGCCUUCGGGUUGUAAAGCUCUUUCGGCCGGGAAGAAAUCGCAUAGGUUAAUACCCUGUGUGGAUGACGGUACCGGAAUAAGAAGCACCGGCUAACUACGUGCCAGCAGCCGCGGUAAUACGUAGGGUGCGAGCGUUAAUCGGAAUUACUGGGCGUAAAGCGUGCGCAGGCGGUUUCGUAAGACAGAGGUGAAAUCCCCGGGCUCAACCUGGGAACUGCCUUUGUGACUGCGAAGCUAGAGUACGGCAGAGGGGGGUGGAAUUCCACGUGUAGCAGUGAAAUGCGUAGAGAUGUGGAGGAACACCGAUGGCGAAGGCAGCCCCCUGGGCCGAUACUGACGCUCAUGCACGAAAGCGUGGGUAGCAAACAGGAUUAGAUACCCUGGUAGUCC
rnacentral:rRNA from 1 species